rnacentral:tRNA from 1 species
GCCUUCUUGGUGUAAUAUUCAAGCACACUCGAAACGUAUUCGAUAGGUCCGUGGUUCGAAUCCCGGUGAGGGCA